CACGUAGGGACCAAGCGUUGUCCGGAUUCAUUGGGCGUAAAGAGCUCGUAGGCGGUUCGGUAAGUCGGGUGUGAAACCUCCAGGCUCAACCUGGAGACGCCACCCGAUACUGUCGUGACUAGAGUCCAGUAGGGGAGCGUGGAAUUCCUGGUGUAGCGGUGAAAUGCGCAGAUAUCAGGAGGAACACCAGCGGCGAAGGCGGCGCUCUGGGCUGGAACUGACGCUGAGGAGCGAAAGCGUGGGGAGCGAACAGG
rnacentral:rRNA from 1 species